rnacentral:rRNA from 1 species
UGGGGAAUAUUGCACAAUGGGGGAAACCCUGCUGCAGCGACGCCGCGUGAGCGAAGAAGGCUUUCGAGUCGUAAAGCUCUGUCCUAUGAGAAGAUAAUGACGGUAUCAUAGGAGGAAGCCCUGGCUAAAUACGUGCCAGCAGCCGCGGUAAUACGUAUGGGGCGAGCGUUGUCCGGAAUUAUUGGGCGUAAAGGGUACGUAGGCGGUUUUUUAAGUCAGGUGUCAAAGCGUGGAGCUUAACUCCAUUAAGCACUUGAAACUGAAAGACUUGAGUGAAGGAGAGGAAAGUGGAAUUCCUAGUGUAGCGGUGAAAUGCGCAGAUAUUAGGAGGAAUACCGGUGGCGAAGGCGACUUUCUGGCCAUAAUCUGACGCUGAGGUACGAAAGCGUGGGUAGCAAACAGG